GGUGCUGUAGACUAAUUGGUUAGGUCGACUCCACAGAACGAAGGACAUGCGGGUUCGAAUCCCACCGGCCCCC